rnacentral:lncRNA from 1 species
CCCGAUUUCGUCAUCUUUCAACUAGCCUUCUGUUGGAUUGUAAUGCAAUGGGAUUAUUUAAUGCAAUGAAGUGCAUUUUACUACAUCAUUGUUGAAUCAGAUUUAUGUGGACAACUGGAUGAACUCUGAAAUCAAAACAUUUGUGAACCAAGACAGCCUACUGGAAAAGCAAUAUAAUUUGAGAAAAGUUCAAAGGUUAAGGAUUCCGAUGUUGGCAGAAGUCAGAGUAUCUUAUUGAGUGAGCAGUAUGAAUUUCCUGUUCCUGAACACCUAUUUAGACUCCAGAAGGACACCAUGAUCUAAUGGUCAUCAGCAGUUAAGAGUGAG